UACGAGUGCCUCAAGCGUUAUCCGGAAUCAUUGGGCGUAAAGGGUGUGUAGGUGGUUGUGUUAGUCUUCUGUUAAAUUCUUCGGCUUAACCGGGGGCAUGCAGGGGAAACGGCACGACUAGAGGAUGCGAGGGGUCUGCGGAACUCAUAGUGUAGCGGUGAAAUGCGUUGAUAUUAUGGGGAACACCAAAAGCGAAGGCAGCAGACUGGAGCACUCCUGACACUGAAACAUGAAAGCGUGGGUCGCGAAUGGG
rnacentral:rRNA from 1 species